rnacentral:lncRNA from 1 species
AAGAAGUUCAUAGUAAGCACAUAUCUAAGAUAGAUCUGAAAGAAAAUUGAAAGGUCUUAGAGCUAGGGCUUUAGAAAACCCAGAAAAGGUGAGAAAGACUUUGAAAGUUACUGAUCUAGUCAGAAAAGUCAAAGAUUUGACUUGAACAACCACUGAUGGUCAGAGAAAGACCAGGGAUGGCCAGAGAAAGGCCAUGAAUGGAUGUUGAGCAAGGGCUGGACCAGAUCUCUUUGAGAUCUGGCCAUGAAAUCACACAAACGGCCACCAUGAGAUGUAGGAGGCCGGUAUACACCUCAAACGCCUCUGUGAGACCAUGGAUUAGGCGGUGAUUGAGGUGGAUUAGGGUGGAAUUAAUUGGCGGUGGCUAGGGUUCAUAUGAGGUUGCAGAGAGAAUUGGGAGAAGAAGAGAAUUCAAAGACGGCGGG